rnacentral:rRNA from 1 species
AGCGAACGCUGGCGGCAGGCUUAACACAUGCAAGUCGAACGCAUCCUUCGGGGUGAGUGGCGCACGGGUGAGUAACACGUGGGAAUGUAUCCUUUGGUUCGGAAUAACGUCUGGAAACGGACGCUAAUACCGGAUGAGCCCUUAGGGGGAAAGAUUUAUCGCCGAAGGAGCAGCCCGCGUCUGAUUAGGUAGUUGGUGGGGUAAAGGCCUACCAAGCCGACGAUCAGUAGCUGGUCUGAGAGGAUGAUCAGCCACACUGGGACUGAGACACGGCCCAGACUCCUACGGGAGGCAGCAGUGGGGAAUAUUGGACAAUGGGCGCAAGCCUGAUCCAGCCAUGCCGCGUGAGUGAUGAAGGCCUUCGGGUUGUAAAGCUCUUUCGCACACGACGAUGAUGACGGUAGUGUGAGAAGAAGCCCCGGCUAACUUCGUGCCAGCCGCCGCAGUAACAC